rnacentral:piRNA from 1 species
UGGUUACCACGACAGAUUACUCCCAGCCC